CCUACGGGUGGCAGCAGUGAGGAAUAUUGGUCAAUGGGCGAGAGCCUGAACCAGCCAAGUCGCGUGAGGGAGUACUGCCCUAUGGGUUGUAAACCUCUUUUGUCGGGGAGCAAAAGCCGGACGUGUCCGGCUGUGAGAGUACCCGAAGAAAAAGCAUCGGCUAACUCCGUGCCAGCAGCCGCGGUAAUACGGAGGAUGCGGGCGUUAUCCGGAUUUAUUGGGUUUAAAGGGUGCGCAGGCGGAUUUGUAAGUCAGCGGUAAAAUCGUGGGGCUCAACCCCAUCCAGCCGUUGAAACUGGGGAUCUAGAGUGUGGGAGAGGUAUGCGGAAUGCGUGGUGUAGCGGUGAAAUGCAUAGAUAUCACGCAGAACCCCGAUUGCGAAGGCAGCAUACCGGUGCACAACUGACGCUCAGGCACGAAAGCGUGGGUAUCGAACAGGAUUAGAUACCCUUGUAGUC
rnacentral:rRNA from 1 species